rnacentral:rRNA from 1 species
UGUUCCCUACGGGAGGCAGCAGUGAGGAAUAUUGGUCAAUGGACGAGAGUCUGAACCAGCCAAGUAGCGUGAAGGAUGACUGCCCUAUGGGUUGUAAACUUCUUUUAUAUGGGAAUAAAAUGUUCCACGUGUGGGAUUUUGUAUGUACCAUAUGAAUAAGGAUCGGCUAACUCCGUGCCAGCAGCCGCGGUAAUACGGAGGAUCCGAGCGUUAUCCGGAUUUAUUGGUUUUAAUGGGAGCGUAGGUGGAUUGUUACGUCGGUUGAGAACGUUUGCGGCUCAACCG